CAGGGACCCUCAUGGCAGGGAGGAAUGAUGAAUCUGACUCCAUGUUCUCAGAAGGCUAAUUUAUUAUUUUAUUAUACUAAAUUAUAUUAAAGAAUACUAUACUAAAUAGUACAGAAAGGAUACUUUCAGAAUGCUAAAAAGAUAAUAAUGAAAACUCAUUACUCUUUCCAGAGUCCUGACACAGCUCAGCACUGAUUGGCCAUUGAGUCAAAACAACUCACACCAGAAUCCAAUGAGGCAAUCACCUGUGGGUAAACAAUCUCCAAACACAUUCCAUAUGUGAGCACAACAGGAGAAGCAAAUGAGCCUCCUUCUCAAAGAGGAAUCAUCCAGUUUGCCUGGCUCUUCCCUCCAGCUGCUCCCUGAGUUUUCCACUCCUGUGCAUGGUCCUGUCCCUGUUCCUGCUGGUCUCUCCCAUCAUGGUACAAGAACCACUGAGGCAAGAGAGGUAAUCACAUUAACAUGAUUUAGAGAGACAAGAGGCUCAUGAAGGGCACGUGGCAUGCGGAGCUGCAGAAGGAGCAGGGAGUGGGAAGCAUCCUCUCCUGCACUGCACAGAGUUCAGAGACAUUUUUACAUGGAAUUGCAAGAGUAAUCCUCUAAUCCACAAGCUGUCAAAUAAUUGAUCAAAAACGUCUCAUAAUUACUCUCUAACUAUGGGUAGUCCUGUGUAGAGUAGAUUCCCUCAGAGAUGGGAGCUAAGAGGGCUCAUGCUGGCAUUUGCCUUGGAGGUCAAUGUGCUCGCUUUAUGGGAUAAGACUGUGGCUGUGUGGCUGCAGUUCUCUGACCUGCCAUCAGCCUAGGUCACAUAACAUCACUAAACAGAUGCACAAGACUGUUUGAAUAUGGAGUUUUAAAUUGCAGGGGACACAAUAAUACAGAUUUAGUACCUGUGUUUCAUCUUGUAGUUUAGAAGCUUUAACAACAGAUCAUACUUAAGCCUGAAUUCUUAGUCCUAUUACUGUAUUCAAACAAAAAACACAUAUAUAAUUUCUAAUACAGUCUUGAGUUUUCCUCUAUCUCUUCUAACAGGACAUUACACAGGGCUGUUUCAAAGUAAGGCACAUUCAGGGCUGAGAGAGAAGCAAACAGCCUCUUGGAAGAAAGAGCACCAGGAACAAAAAACAUGCAUCCAGCUGAGCACUAGAGAAAUGGAAGAUAUUUGAGGCUGGAAAUAAAACAGUUACAAAAAAUAGACUGCUAUAAGAAAAAAUUAUCUAAAUUACUACCUAAAGCAACUUUGUUUCUUUUGAUCCCGUGGUUGUCUUCCCCUACAAUGACAAAACAGCAGUAAAAAUUCCCAACUCUGAAUAAUUAUACAUGCUGAUGUACUGUCAAUUCAAUCAAAAGGUCCUAAAUGUCCAAGUAGAUGAGCAUGCUGUCCUCAACCCUUGAUAGCAGCUGCCUCUUGCUGCUGCUAACUCCAGCCAGGCUGGAUCCACUUGGGCUGAAUGGGGAGGGAAGAGAGCUGUGGUCUGGAUGUCAGACUGCUGGGCUAUGGCAGCGCAGAACUGGUUUCCUCCAGCUCCCUCUUCAAUUCCUUCCACACCUGAUGGUGUGAGCAGUUUCUUCAGUUUUUGCUCCACAAAAGCCAUUCUGAGGAGCAGUGAUGGACACACUCCUCUUUCUGCCAUUCCAGAGCUACCCUGCUGCAGAAGGCUGGAGCAGACACACUGCAACACAUUUAGAUUAGGAUGCAGAAAAUUAAUUUUGCAAAAUUCAGGGGACCUGGCAUUGUGGGUCAUGUAAAAUUAUAAAUGAAAAUGUGAUGGAUUACAGGCAUGGAUGUGAUGAGGUACAGGCAUUAUGCAAGUGAAUGUACAUUAACAUUAUGUACAUUAAUAUUCACAAACAGCACUUAUCACUCGAUAUACUGACUGUGUCUUCAGUUGUUCACAAAAGCUUAGAGGUGGAUAUAAAAAUCUACCAACUACUGAUUAUCAUAAAAAUAAACAAUAAUUUCUAGAAAUUCUCAAGGCAAACUGAAGAGUGUGUGUGUCUUUCUCAACUAAGACACUUAGAGAGUAGUCGCAACAAAAAUGCAAACUUGUGGGCCCAUUUAAUAUUUGAACUCAGGCUAAGUGUAAAGGAGCAAAUAGAUUUAUAUAUACAAGGUAUAAAAUGUGGAUGAAAUUGAAAGCAAGGGCGCAGAAAAUAUGCCAGAGAAAGAUGAAGAAGAAUUAUUGGGGCAUUACAUUUUAUUCUCCUGUUUCCAUCAAAUUGUGCAAUAAAGGACAGCUUGAAAAAUACAGAGUAAAAACAACAAAUGUGAUAGUAUAUAAAAGGGAAUGUUUAGAGUUUAUCAAGGUAAAAAAGAUAAAAUAGCCUCCUAUCAGCUUUGAAAUAUCCCCUUUCACUUUCAAUAUCAAAAUUCAUUAUUAAAAUCACUGCUCCCCAAAUCCAGGGAUUCAAACUGUUCUGAUAUCCCUAUAUUUGUUUGAGCUGUCACUCUCUCUGCAUUAAUCCAUUUUUAUGGGCUGAAAAAACAUUGAAACUGGUAAGAAAUCUGUUUUCAAGGAGUUUCACAGUGUCAAAACUGACAUGAACAGUGAGGGAUGCUAUAACACAUGGUAACAGUAAGCCUGAGAGCUUGAGGUUGUAGCUGAUGCUUCCUCCCCCUGAACAGGUGACAGAUAAACAGACUACAAAGGAUUUUUAAGGCAAAGUUCAUCAAGUAGCAGUUUUGUACUUGUGGGUCCAUCAACUCCUCCUCCUCCACUACAAAG